UAGAGAUGUCAAACUGGGUACUGUCCCGCGGGCCUGGCCCAGAAGGGUUUGUUGCGGGGCGGGUAUGGGCCUAGGGAUUCAUGACCCGCAAAAAAGCGGGCCUUGCGGGACUGGGCUUGUUUGAUACCGGGUCUAAAGCGGGACGGCCCGCAUCAACCGCGGGAAGGCCCACAUGUACCGCAUCUAGAUGCUUCGUCGUUUCCGUUGCCCUUUCACCUGAAAAUGAAAAGUUUAAUAUCUACUGAAAUGACCAUUGCAGAUGUGUCGUCUCUUCUUGUUAAGGAGGAGACUGCAUUCCCUUUGAGACAAGACUCUUCACUAAUUCCAGGAGAACCCAAUAUAUCUUAUAUAGCCUCUGUUCCCUGGAGAGACUAGAGUUGAUCAAUUGGUGGAGAUCAUUAAGGCAAUAAAACGAUUGUGGUUUUUGUUUUCUUUCCUGUUAGAUUCUCAGAGUUUGUCUCUGACAUGUAGUUCUUAUAUAUUCUAUGAAUUGUCUCUGAUUUGUCUUCUUUUUUUUGUUUGUGUUUUGAGUGCCAGCACCAUCGCCAUUUGUAGUCUAAAGUCGAUCUUUGUGUUUUAACUUAGUUAAGAAGUUGUUGUGAUCAAAGAGAACAUGUGUUGUGGCUCUUUGAUGAUUCUGUUUAUGUAUAAACAAUCAAAUUAUCUAUUUAUUUUGUUGAAUUAAAAAAUAA